rnacentral:rRNA from 1 species
AUUGAACGCUGGCGGCAGGCUUAACACAUGCAAGUCGAGCGGAGAGAGGUAGCUUGCUACUGAUCUUAGCGGCGGACGGGUGAGUAAUGCUUAGGAAUCUGCCUAUUAGUGGGGGACAACAUUUCGAAAGGAAUGCUAAUACCGCAUACGUCCUACGGGAGAAAGCAGGGGAUCUUCGGACCUUGCGCUAAUAGAUGAGCCUAAGUCGGAUUAGCUAGUUGGUGGGGUAAAGGCCUACCAAGGCGACGAUCUGUAGCGGGUCUGAGAGGAUGAUCCGCCACACUGGGACUGAGACACGGCCCAGACUCCUACGGGAGGCAGCAGUGGGGAAUAUUGGACAAUGGGCGGAAGCCUGAUCCAGCCAUGCCGCGUGUGUGAAGAAGGCCUUAUGGUUGUAAAGCACUUUAAGCGAGGAGGAGGCUACUUUAGUUAAUACCUAGAGAUAGUGGACGUUACUCGCAGAAUAAGCACCGGCUAACUCUGUGCCAGCCGCCGCGGUAUAC